UCGUGGAUCGAUUUGUCUGGUUAAUUCCGAUAACGAACGAGACCUUACCCUACUAGUUAGUUAUACCUAGUUUUACUAGGAUGUUUUUAACAAAUAACUUCUUAGAGGGACAGCUGGUGUUUAACCAGAGGAAGUUUGAGGCAAUAACA
rnacentral:rRNA from 1 species